rnacentral:lncRNA from 1 species
AUCCACCAGGAAAAUGAAUACCUGUUGAAAGAAGGAAAUGCCUUUUUUUCUCAUUUUUCUCCUUCAACCACUUUUCUCUCUCUUGAGCUCAACUUCCCAUACUCUUUCGGUCAUCUGUUCUGUUUCCUGCGGAAGUUAAAGGUGCUGGGAUCCAAUGGAGAAGGCUGAAUUUGCUGCUUCAAACCUUUUGUCACAUCCUCCUGGUAGAAGGGCAAGAAGCUACCUGUUAGCAAAAAUAAGGGUGAAGUUUGCCUCGUGCGUUCCCCUGUGCAUCCACCACUGCUUCAUUGAUGUCCUGGAAACUAAGCCUAUAGUUGAGUAUGCCAUCUGGUAGGAGCUACAGCAGAAGCAGUUGCUCUCGCAGAUUUCCAUCAGGCCUAGGUGUUACCCUUUCUGUGGAGGCAGCUCACUGCACCAGUUUUUUUCUGUGACAAAUUCUGGUUGUCUCAAAGGAAAGAGCAACUGAUUGCAUGUAAUGGAAUGAAUGAAAAAUAAAACACUUUUGCUUGAAUGAAUUGCG